CCUCAGGGACAGCAACAUGGCCCAGUUAGAAGGUGUGGAAAUGACAGUGCGUGUGGACAGUGAAGGUGUGCCCAGUACAGGAGGGGUAAGGAGGACAUCUUGUACAGCAGCAGUGACCAAAAUGAGGGUGAAAGCGGUCUACCAUAGAGUGGAAUAGCUAUAUAAUUCCUGACCUCAUGAUGGGCACUGGAAUGCUUCCACAGCAUUUCUUGGAUCAAAGCAAGUCACAAGACCAGUGCAGACUCCGGGACUGGAAAAAUAGACUCCAACACUUGAUGGGAGGAGCUGCAAAGUCAUGUCACAAAUGAUGAGGAGAGAGCCAAAGGAAGGAUUAGUGGUCCAAAUGUGCAAUCUACCACGGGUAGCCAACAUCAUUCCUAUGUUAGCAAGAAGAAGGCUGAAGAAGGCCCCAUCAAAAUCAGAGAGAAUCAAAGUUCAUUUUGCAAAUUGGCUGGGACCCUCAUAGCCUUAAAAUGGAUGAAGCUGGAAACCAUCAUUCUAAGCAAACUAUCACAAAGACAGAAAACCAAACACCACAUGUUCUCACUCAUAGGUGGGAGUUGAACAAUGACAACACAUGGACACAGGGCGGGGAACAUCAUACACAGGGGCCGGUCGGGGGGUGGCGGACUGGGGGAGGGAUAGCAUUAGGAGAAAUACCUAGUAUAAAUGACGAGUUGAUGGGUGCAGCAAACCAACAUGGCACAUGUAUACCUAUGUAACAAACCUGCAUGUUGUGCACAUGUACCCUAGAACUUAAAGUAUAAUAAAAAUAAAUAAAUAAAUAAAAAUUAAAAUAUAUAUAUAA
ensembl:lncRNA novel transcript